UACGGAGGGUGCAAGCGUUGUCCGGAAUCAUUGGGUGUAAAGGGUGCGUAGGCGGAAGUCUAAGUCGGAGGUGAAAUCUUGCCGCUUAACGGUAAAAGUGCCUUCGAAACUGGAUUUCUUGAGUUCGGGAGAGGUUGGUGGAAUUCGGGGUGUAGCGGUGAAAUGCGUAGAUAUCACGAAGAACACCGGUGGCGAAGGCGGCCAACUGGUCCGAUACUGACGCUGAGGUACGAAAGCGUGGGGAGCGAACAGG
rnacentral:misc_RNA from 1 species